CGCACAUUGCGCCCAUUAGUAUUCUAGUGGGCAUGCCUGUUCGAGCGUCAUUUCAACCCUCAAGCCCCCGUUGCUUGGUGUUGGGAGCCUACGGGGUCACCCGUAGCUCCUCAAAGUUAGUGGGCGGAGUCGGUUCACACUCUAGACGUAGUAGAUUUUCACCUCGCCUGUAGUGCUGGACCGGUCCCUUGCCGUAAAACACCUCUAUUUCUAAAAGGUUGACCUCGGAUCAGGUAGGAAUACCCGCUGAACUUAA
rnacentral:misc_RNA from 1 species